UGGCUCAGUUGGUGGAGCCUGUGACUCUGGAUCUCAGGGUUGUGAGUUCGAGCCUCAC
rnacentral:tRNA from 1 species